AUACAAAUCACCUGGGGGAUCUUGUUAAAACGCAGAUUCUGAUGAAAGUUGGGAUACAGGAUUUCUAAACAGCUCCCAGGCAGUGCUGAUGCUGCU
rnacentral:pre_miRNA from 1 species